GACUUUCUCUCAUAAGAACUGGCACUGUACAACCUGAACCAUGGGAUUUGGACUGAAUGGAAUUUUCAUUCUGAUUAUUUUUCAAGGUGUCCAUUGUGAUAUUCAGCUGGUGGAGUCUGGGGGAGAUGUGAGACAACCUGGAGGAUCCCUGAAACUCUCCUGCAAGGCUUCUGGAUUCACCUUCAGCAGCUAUUACAUGAGUUGGGUUCGCCAGGCUCCCGGGAAGGGGUUGGAGUGGAUCUCAUCAAUGGGUACAAGUGAUACAUACUAUGUAGACUCUGUGAAAGGCCGAUUCACCAUCUCCAGGGACAAUGGCAACAGCCUGCUGCACCUGCAGAUGAAUUCCCUGAAAGCUGAGGACACAGCCAUGUAUUACUGUGCAAGAGACACAGGGAUGAUAGGGAGGAGGUUCGAUAUCUGGGGGAAAGGGACCAUGGUGACUGUCUCCUCCGCCAGACCUACAACUCCAUCCGUAUUUCCCCUGGCACCCAGCUGUGGACAGGAAACCGAAGCCCAGGUGGCUCUGGGCUGCCUGGUGACAAGCUACUUCCCUGAGCCAGUGACAGUGACAUGGAAUUCAGGGGCCACCACCAGUGGAAUCCAGACCUAUCCCUCUAUACUCCAGUCCUCAGGACUCUACACUUUAACCAGUCAGUUGACAGUUCCUGCAGAUACUUUGUCCUCUCAGUCAUAUGUCUGCAAUGUGGUUCACCCAGCCACAUCCGCCAAGAUCGACAAGAAAAUUGAACCAACUUCUUCAGGAUGUACAUGCUGUAAAUGCCCUCCAGUUGAUGUCGGCGGACCUUCUUUUUUUGUCUUCCCUCCAAGUCCUCAAGAUGUCCUCAAACUCUCAAGAUCCCCUAAAAUUACCUGUAUGGUGGUUGAUGUAAGUGAUGCAUCAACUGUUCAGAUUACCUGGUUCAAAGGUGAAGAGGAAGUCAGCAGUCCUAAACUCACCUCGAAGAAAGCAAACAAUGGCACCUUUCAGGUGGUCAGUAAUCUCCCUGUAGUCCACCAGGAAUGGCUGAAAGGCACUUCAUACACGUGUAAAGUUAGUACCCCUGAACUACCAUCUGCUGAGAAAAAGACCAUCUCCCACACUAAGGGUGAGAGAAGGAAGCCUGAUAUAUAUGUCUUUGGCCCACAUCCUGAUGAGUUGAAACAAAAAGAUGUCGUCACUAUUACCUGCCUGGUGACCGGUUUCUUCCCUGAAGAUGCUGUUAUUGAAUGGCAAAAGAACAACAGUCCGGAGCUUGAAGAUAAACAUUACACCACCCCAACAACGAAGGAAAAGAACACCUACUUUAUCUACAGCAAGCUUAGUGUGCAGAAAAGAGAUUGGGAGAACCGAAACGCCUUUACCUGCGUAGUGUUGCAUGAGGCCUUUCCAAACCAAAUUUCCCAGAGGACAAUCUCUGCAACCCCGGAGUUGAUACCAGAUGAGAAUUGCGCUGAGACCAGAGAUGGAGAGCUGGAUGGGCUGUGGACCACAAUAUCUAUCUUCAUCACUCUUUUCCUCCUCAGUGUAUGCUACAGUGCCACUGUCACCCUUUUCAAGGUGAAGUGGAUCUUCUCCUCUGUGAUGGAGUUAAAGCAGCCAAUGAUCCCUGACUACAGGAACAUGAUGGGGCAAGGGGCCUAA